CAGAGAAAGGAGAUAAGAUCUCCCAUGAGCAUGGAUAAGUAGAAUUAUCAUAAUACAAAUGGCAAUCUUACCUAAAGCAAUCUAUAGAUUCAAUGCUAUCCCCAUCAAAAUACCAACACAAUUCUUCACAGACCUUGAAAGAGCAAUACUCAACUUCAAAUG